rnacentral:rRNA from 1 species
GACGAACGCUGGCGGCGUGCUUAACACAUGCAAGUCGAGCGGAAAGGCCCUUCGGGGUACUCGAGCGGCGAACGGGUGAGUAACACGUGAGUAACCCGCCCUUCACUUUGGGAUAACCCUCGGAAACGGGGGCGUAAUACCGGAUACGACACACCAGCGCAUGUUGUGUGUGUGGAAAGUUUUUACGGUUGGGGAGUGGGCGUCGCGGCCUAUCAGCUUGUUGGUGGGGUGGAUGGCCUACCAAGGCGACGACGGGUAGGCCGGCCUGAGAGGGCGACCGGCCACACUGGGACGUGGGACACGGCCCACGACUCCUACGGGAGGGCAGCAGUGGGG